rnacentral:rRNA from 1 species
UUUUAUGCUCAUAUCCUACUGAAUGAAUUGGAUUCCGUUCGAUCUCCGAAGUAAAUCAGUUGCGAAGUAUCUUAGUACUUGGAUAGAUAACCUCCUGGGAACCGUUAUUGGCGUAAGUU